CCUACGGGAGGCAGCAGUGGGGAAUAUUGCACAAUGGGCGCAAGCCUGAUGCAGCCAUGCCGCGUGUGUGAAGAAGGCCUUCGGGUUGUAAAGCACUUUCAGCGGGGAGGAAGGCGUUAAGGUUAAUAACCUUGGCGAUUGACGUUACCCGCAGAAGAAGCACCGGCUAACUCCGUGCCAGCAGCCGCGGUAAUACGGAGGGUGCAAGCGUUAAUCGGAAUUACUGGGCGUAAAGCGCACGCAGGCGGUCUGUCAAGUCGGAUGGGAAAUCCCCGGGCUCAACCUGGGAACUGCAUUCGAAACUGGCAGGCUAGAGUCUUGUAGAGGGGGGUAGAAUUCCAGGUGUAGCGGUGAAAUGCGUAGAGAUCUGGAGGAAUACCGGUGGCGAAGGCGGCCCCCUGGACAAAGACUGACGCUCAGGUGCGAAAGCGUGGGGAGCAAACAGGAUUAGAUACCCUUGUAGUC
rnacentral:rRNA from 1 species